AUUGUUACAUAAUUGCUGUGUAAUUUUUUUUAACACCCAAACGUACAUUAUGCUUAGGUUAAUCAUUCACCAGAUUUUCACACGGACACUUCGAUUGACAAAAUAGUGAAAAGAGAACUAUUGAUUGAUACGUUUAAGCUUUUGCAGUUGGAUAAGACUCUAAAAAAAUUCGUUUCUGCCGAGAAUAAAUGGAAAAUUCAACAACAAACCAUUAAGACCGAUAAAAACGUUUACAAACAAAGAAUGUUAAAGUGCAAAGAACAUUUUGAGCAACAAAAUAAUGUAUGGCAAAGUAAGAAUAUGGGUAACUAUAGAUUAGUGUUCUCAGAGAAAAAUGCGCAUUUGUACGAACAUUUUUAUUAUUGCAAUGAAAGUGCCAUUUACCGACACAAAUGUCGUACAUCAUUACAUCAAGAAUCUGAAAAAUAAUUUCAAGGAAAAGUAUAUUUGAUUAUUAGAGUCUCAUCCAACUGCAAAAGCUUAAACGUAUCACACAAUAGUUCUCGUUUCGCUAUUUUGUCAAUCGAAGUGUCCGUGUGAAAAUUUGGUGAAUGAUUAACCUAGGCACAAUGUAACUACGUUCGGGUGUUAAAAAAAAUUACACAUCAAUUAUGUAACAAUAUU